rnacentral:rRNA from 1 species
AUACGGAGGGUGCAAGCGUUAAUCGGAAUUACUGGGCGUAAAGCGCACGCAGGCGGUCUGUCAAGUCGGAUGUGAAAUCCCCGGGCUCAACCUGGGAACUGCAUUCGAAACUGGCAGGCUAGAGUCUUGUAGAGGGGGGUAGAAUUCCAGGUGUAGCGGUGAAAUGCGUAGAGAUCUGGAGGAAUACCGGUGGCGAAGGCGGCCCCCUGGACAAAGACUGACGCUCAGGUGCGAAAGCGUGGGGAGCAAACAGGAUUAGAUACCCUGGUAGUCCACGCCGUAAACGAUGUCGACUUGGAGGUUGUGCCCUUGAGGCGUGGCUUCCGGAGCUAACGCGUUAAGUCGACCGCCUGGGGAGUACAGCCGCAAGGUUAAAACUCAAAGGAAUUGACGGGG